UACAGAGGGUGCAAGCGUUAAUCGGAAUUACUGGGCGUAAAGCGCACGUAGGUGGCUUGAUAAGUUGGGUGUGAAAUCCCCGGGCUUAACCUGGGAAUUGCAUUCAAGACUGUCUUGCUAGAGUGUGGAAGAGGGAAGCGGAAUUCCAGGUGUAGCGGUGAAAUGCGUAGAUAUCUGGAGGAACAUCAGUGGCGAAGGCGGCUUCCUGGUCCAACACUGACACUGAGGUGCGAAAGCGUGGGGAGCAAACAGG
rnacentral:rRNA from 2 species